rnacentral:lncRNA from 1 species
CAGGAUAGUCAAACUAGGUCUCCACAAUUCAUUUUUCAUGAAACUUUCUGCGACUGCACACACAAGCUUUUAACCAUUGAGCUUCACAAUUCGUUUACCACCAUAAGGCUCUAACAGCUUCCUCUCAACUUAACAUUAUUUCCUUGACGGGAGAAUCCAUCAUUUCAGCAGAUAGUUAAUACCAGAGCUUUCACACAAAAGUAAAAUCAGCUGUUCACAUCAUCGACCAGAAACUUUGACCAGAAUACUAACUGCUAAGGAUCAGAAUCAGAAUCUUAUCCUGCCACAUAACAGUCAGUUUUCUAAAUGAUCCAUGUAAGCAGCACUGAACCUACAUUCUUUGACACGUCUUGGUCGCUUUAAGAUUGCUGAUCAACAGGUUCACACAUAAUGGUAGGAACAUCAUACACAGCAAAUCCCUUUGGCGGGGUUUCUCAGAUUAACUCAGAUUCUCCAAUCUCUUAUGUGACUUUGUUAUUGUGUGAUCUCAGCUUCUUAAGAUCAAACUCAACCUUUGUAGACAAUCAUCAUAUAUUCUUUUUUGCCUCAUCAUAAAGAUGCCAUCAACCACAAAUCUGCGUAGAAUCUGCUGUCCUAACAUCAACUAGACACCGCUGUCGCCAAUAGCACAGGAUCAAAGCCUGUCGUACACACAGAACAGUCUCUUUCUAAUGUAGUAGCAAUUCUGAGCAAGUUAAUUCUCAUGUUGCAGUCUUUUUCUGAAAACUUGUGACAACCCAACUUUCUCUCUUGAAUGAACCUGUUUAUAUCAAGAACGUACCAAAUGUUCAUUAAACAGAUCAGAAACUGCAGAUAACUUCCAAACGGAAAACCCAUUAGCUUGACAUCUUCUUCUUGUUCUUUAUGCUUAGUUUAUCAUUCAAGCAACAUCACACCUCCUUUCCUCCCCUGCUUGAAUGCAUAGCUAAUUCAAAAAGAUAUCUCUAAUUCACCUGAGCAUCCGAUUUUGUGCUAAGAUCGUGUCUCAUGGCAUCCGAUCACCCCAAACUCUUUAAUAAUAUAGACGGCUGAACCGUUGUAGAGCUCCCGUGGAGUUUGAAUUCCCAACUCUGCUUCUUUCCAUUAAUUGGUCCAUUUUCAAUGACUCAAGCAACAUCUUUGGUAGUCUUUCCUGGAAGCUCACACGAAACCGACAAAUCUAGGAAGUUUAUCAACAUGUUCUCAAACAUGUGUUCUCCGUUCUCAGCAGCCUGAUUUUUCUUGGAAUUGGUCAAACCACGAGCCAUACAUUUUAGAUAAGACACCUUCUCUGUUUCUCACUCGUAAGAUGGAAACACUGAAUUUUCUAUUAGAAUAAUUUAUCCAAUGGCUGUUCCUUUCAACUGUUGUCGUCGCUCGUCACACAAUCUCUUCUUGGACACAUGCUAAUUAGAGAAUCGAUUAUCUCUUUCUUUCUUCACGCUCAUUCAGGGACAAGCUCUGACAGUUUCAACCUCGCAAAGUCUUUGAUCUCCUUUAUACUAUCAUACCUGUCACUUUAGC